AUACGGAGGGUGCAUGCGUUAAUCGGAAUUACUGGGCGUAAAGCGUACGUAGGCGGUCCGUUAAGUUAGAUGUGAAAGCCCCGGGCUUAACCUGGGAACUGCAUUUAAAACUGGCGGACUAGAGUUGAGUAGAGGGGAGUGGAAUUUCAGGUGUAGCGGUGAAAUGCGUAGAGAUCUGAAGGAACACCAGUGGCGAAGGCGACUCCCUGGACUCGAACUGACGCUGAGGAACGAAAGCGUGGGUAGCAAACGGGAUUAGAUACCCCUGUAGUCC
rnacentral:rRNA from 1 species